GCAUGACACCUUUACCCUAUGUAAGAUUCUUACCAAUUCUGAUGUGACAAGGUAUGAAAAUUCAAUGGUAAAUGAUAACUUUCCAGUUUGUAUCUUUUGAACCUUGGAAUUCUAUUUCUUACACUAAUUAGUUGUGUGACUUUAGAAAACGUAUUUCAUUUUUCUGGGCCUCAGUUUCAUCAUCUACAAAAUGGUCCCCACUAAACCUACCUCUGAAAAGUGUGAAAAAAAUCGAAGAGCUAAGGUAGGUUAACACCCAGCACAUAAUAAGUAUUCAACAAAUGAUCUUGCUCUUUUGACAUCAUGGUUAUUUAACGUCUGUUCACAGAUAAGCUUUUAUCAAUUCUCAAUGAAAGCAACAAAGGAAGGUUCAUAUUUUUCCAUUUUGUUACCAAAAAUACUAUUAGAUUUUAAAGAAAACAGAGCACAUCUUUCACCACAUGAGAAUAAGAAAUCUACUCUUUUUUGGCAAGCAAAAAAAAAAAAAAAAGCCAUAAACACAACUGACAUUAAUUCUCUGUGCAUAUUGCAUCUUGCCUCCCUGUUUUACAGUUUUCAGAAACCAAGCGUCCAUCUGUCUCUAGAGACCUAUUCUAGGUUCUAGAAAAGAAAACACCCUCUAGAUCUGGUAGCGCUUUUGAUUUGGCUGACUUAAAGCCCCUAGCGUGAUUCCUUCUGCUGGUGCAUGCGUGAGGCCAGGAUGCUGAUUUAUGGCUGCAGGUUAAUCCCGUCGCAGGUCACUCUGCUCUGUUAAUUGCAUCCUAACCUUCCUCGGCUCUUUAGCAGUGAAAUCGCAGCAGAGGAGACGGUGCAGCUUGGUGCGCAUUGCUCAUUUGUGCCCACGUGGAAAGAACUGCCAGGAUGCCCAGGACACCGGCUCCCUGGCUUCUGCAGUGCUUGUGCAGUCCUGAAUCAGCACGAGAGCUGUGGAUCUGCGUCCCCUGGCUGCAUGGCUGACUGCAUCUCCAUGGAGGGGCCUGUCCUGGAGAACACUCACAUGUUAACUUGUUUCUUCAGUCUAGGCCUUUCUUGGUCCCCAUGGUUAUUCAUCCUGGAUGAAACACCUCUUAUUUCAGUUCAGAUGUCUCACGGAAGAGGCUUUGAAGAAAGAGCGGAUGCCCAUGUUUGUUGGCAGUAGGUAGCAUUUACCACUCAGGCUGUAGUAAAAGAAAAAAAGGAGAAAUUACAUAGAUUCUCUAUCUUUAAGGAAAAAGCAAUUAAAUCACCAAAGUCAGAUUCUCGAGUAAUUGCUGGGCCCUCGGAGGGGCGGGAGAGGUGAAGUGUGAGGCCUCAGGUCUCUGUCUUGAGUGGGGCUGGCAUUGCCUGCCGGGGACUCCAAGCAGAGACUGUGCCAGGGAAGGCAGCGUGCAUGGAGAAACCCGGAGCCUCUUGCCAGCCUCUCCUCCCAGCUGCCGUCCAUGCACUUGUCCCAGCUUCCUGGCUGUCCUGAGGCCAGGCAAGAGGGAGCAGGGCUCCAGCUACAGAAGUUACAGGAGGCGACUCUCAGAGCCUUGAUUUCCUCCAUUGGAAAUACUGAGAACAGUAUCCUCCAGGCCUACUUUCCAAAAGCCGUUAUGAAGAUUACCUAGACUCAUACCUGUGAAGGCUGGUGAAAGAAUAAAGCCACCUAAACACACAAGGUGUUAAAAAUAUCCCUUCCAACUAAAUAACAGAUCAGUUCAUAUUCCGGGCCUGCCCGACAGAGGCAGUCACAGUGGAGGGGUGGGAGCCCCGGCCCUUACCAGGUGACCUCCCAUCAGUCAGAAAGACAAUGACAUGCAGCAGUGCUGAGCACCACCUGGCUGGGAUCACUUCUCAUGCCUUCCUUUCUCAUUCUCCAGCCUGGGUCGGUAGCACAAUCCAGAGAGCCAGCAGGCGGUCUCUCCCGGUCCACGGAGGCAGAGGAGCUGUCUGAACGUGCAGCAUGGCCCCUGCCAACCCCGCCCAGUAUCAAGAGCUGCCCCGCACCCGGUGAUCUCUGCAAAUCACUGCUCACCCAGAAGGGAAACCAAUUUACAUAGGGAGAGUAACAGAGAAUGCCAAGUUCGUGUUAGGAGAUGAUUCUUUUGGAUAAAGGGAGGCCAGAAUCCUUUUCAAAUAAUAUUUUCUUUGUAUGUGUUCCCACUGCAGAAUAAGGUGUUCCUUAGGCCAGCUCUAGGCAAAAUUGAGAAGCUCUGUUUCUGCUCCCUCCAUCCCCGCUUUUUGAAAAAUGGAUCUGUGAAAACUGUUACAAUAUCCAGGCAAGACGGACAAUAGUAGAACUGACAUUCAAUCUUCAUUUUGAAGAGCAGUUAAAUGGGAGUGAGAUUAUAACACUGUUAAAAUAAGAUUAAUGUUAUAAUAAAUGCUAGCAUCCCAGAACAAUUGAAUAGAAAUAUAAUGAACAGCCAAGGCUGGUAAGUGGAAAUGUCAUCAACGGCCACAUAGGUAGAGUAAGUUACUACCUUUGAGGAUUGAGUUAGACUGUGCAUAAAAUGAGAGAUCCAGAAUAACUGUGGCUUCGGCAAGACAGAGUUUUAUUUCUUUCUUACAUAAAAAUCUGGACACCCUCCUCCCCUCUUUUUUCUGAGGGCAACUUUGCUUAUCUGACACACUGGACGCUGGGGUGUCUGGCCUCCAUUGCUCAUCGCUUCUUCUUUCUUCUGGUUCCACAUGGGCUUCUAUUCCCCAGGAUACAUCUAGGUCCAAGAUGACUGCUGUAGUGCUGCCCAUCACGCCUGCAUCCCCACUAGCAAGAAAGAGGAAUGAGGAGGACGUGGCAAAGGGCAGACACCUGCUGUCUCUUAAAGAAGGUUCCCAGCAGCUACAGCACACACUUUCACUUACAUCCCAUGGGCUGGGCCUGGGUCGAGGGCCAGACCUAGCUGUCUCUACACUGUCAGCCAGUGCCUGCCAAAAACAAGUACUGUAGAAGUGGGGAACACACUGGCCACCACUGAUGAUCUCUGCCGUUUGUGUAUUUUCCAGAUUUCUGGGAAGUGCCUCUGCCUUCCCCUGCCUUUUCACAUCUCCCAGUUCACUUGGCUGAUGCCUGCAUUUCUCAAUCGUUGUUAAGUCUCUCAUUAAGUCAAAGUGAACUUUCUCAUGUUGAGAGACCGUCUUGCUCCAGGUCACUUGGAGGAUUCCCAGCGCUGAUUUGUUCAUUUCCCAAUAUUUUCCCAGCCCAACUGGGCUGGUUUCUGGGCGAUUCACCUCCAAGAUAGCUAUUUUUUUUUUCUCUGUUGUCCACACUCUCAGAAGGCAUUAGCUAGUCAAGCAGACAACAUUCUCCAAGGCUCACUGUAUGCUGGCUCUGACACUUAGUUUUAUAUUCUUUUUCUCACUUAGUCUCCAGCACAGCCCUAAGAGAUGAUUGCUCUUCCUAGAAAUUAGGAUCGAAGUUGUGGUCCACGCCAGUGUGACCACAUGCCCUAUCCCUGCUGCCAGUCAUUGUGCCGCACUGCCCCUCCUGUAUCCUGUAUGAUCUCUGUCACCACCCCCACCUGAUAGGUUAGGGAAGAAGGUGAGUACGUAUCCGUGAUAGGCCAGAUGCAGUGCUGAGUCCCGGGGAGAAGGCAAAUUUCUCUAGGUCCUAGUUCUCAAGCUCUGUGUGUAGCGCAGAGGGGAGGGGAGCUGGAGGGAGUGAAACACAAUUCCCACAUGUCACAAGGCCAACUGGGAUGUCCCCUAAGAGAUGAAAGUAGGUUACUUUCACUGCAGGUGUUCAGCAGAUGUAAGGGUGAGACAGCUGAAGGGCAGCAAGAAACGAGUCUACCCAGCUACCCCUGCUUUCCUGUGGCUUGCCUGGAGGGCUUCACCAGUCCAUACCCAGUCGAGUUAAGUUCCUUACUGUGUGAGCCAGGGGUCAGCUGGGCUCCUGCCCUAGAGGAUCUGGUCAAAUUUGAGUGGAAUUCUCAUUCCAUGGCCUUGGCAGAACUCAGAGUCCUUCCUGCAGUUUCUUUUCCUUAAUGCUUUCUUCCUCCACCCUCCCUUCACCUCAGUGCCUGAAUGUCACCUUCCUAGUCCACACCACUAUUUUCAUGGAAGGUCAUUCUCAAGCCUAGGAAUCCCCCUAGUCUUUGAUUAGAAAAGGCCCAUGCUUUUUGCCUUUUUUCUCCCUCCUCUGGGAUAACGUCAGCUUUAUGUCUAACACAUGAUUCCUCAACAUUUGUGAUUUUUAUACCCAACCAAUUUAUGAAAGUAUUUUCCUCACCAAAAUCUGAUUUCUCAUGCUGUAAGAGAUCCUGGAGAAUUAAGUCUUUUUUCUCUUGUUACUCUUAAUGUUUUGGUGACUGUAUUGAUGCAGCAGAAGUUAAUCUAAAUCUCCAGGUCAAAAACCAAUGCCACGAUCUGUUGAAAGUGGUGAUGAGAAGUCCGGGUCCCUCAUGCGGGCUUGGCAGGCAGGGCCUUGGGAUUAUGGUGAGGUCACUGGGAAGUCCUAAGGCAAUGGGACUGGCUACUUGUCAGAUGUGGCCAUUGCUAACAAUUGUGAAGAUGGUUGUAAUGAAAACAUCUGCUCCACAGAGUAUGAGUUGGGCCAUUGUUGGAAGCCCUAGAGAUACCUAGUGCUUACCACAUCCGGGUAUUUAUUCCUGAACACAUGGGGAGACUCAGGUUGCCCUGAACGUGGUUCAAGGUCAUCUAACCAGCAUUGCCCAGUGGACUUUGAGUAAAGAGGCAUAUCAUUUGUGUUCUGAGGCACUUAAGAGUCUCCCAUGCUCUCUCUUCCCCUGGGAGCCUGGUGUUGAAAUGAUAGCAAUGCAGAAUGGAAAGACCUUCGAUCUCUAAGACACCAGAUGGAAGAGGGCCCUGCUGACCUGCACCAGACUUUGCAUGAGCAAGACACAAGCUUCUGUAAGGCUGAACCCCUGCUACUUUGACCUUUAUUUGUUACUAGAGCAUAGCAUAGUGUGUCCCAGCAAACACAGAUCAUAUGGAAAUUUAUAUGGUUUUAUUCAGCUCUGCCACUGGAGUAUUUCUGGGUAUUUUGUAGCUUCCAAAGUUUUGCUGAUCAGAGGAUGUUUUGGAAGAAGAAAGAUUAUUUUUUUCUUUUGUAUUCUUCACUUAUUUCUGUUGUUUUUUUCUUAGGUGGUCAUCAUUUCGAAGAGACUAGGUAAUAAGGUGACAGGUACUGAAAUAGAAAGACCCACAGAUUAAAUUGGAGAGAAGCAUUUGGUAGGAAGGUUUGCAAAAAACCCCUCAAGCCUCUGCUUGCCUAAUUGAUAUGCUGUUCUGGAACAAUUCAGCCUGACACAGGUGCUCCCGCAGGUUAGUUAAAAGGAUAGUGCGGUGCAGAAUCCAUAUGCUACCAUUCCGCCUUUCAAAGCAGUGGAGAAUCUCAGGCUCUGUCUCCAUUAGUAAUCACCAGACAUAACAAUUAAACACAUAUCACACCAGGCUCAAAAAUCCCUGGAAGAUACUUGGUGUCCAUUCUGUUCUACUGUGAAUCUGUUCUUAAUCUUGGCAAAAUGAGACUAGCGGUUGGAGAAGAAGGAGAAGGGAAGAGAAGGAAACCCCCAGUAAGAUUCAGAUAGCAGAGAAUUAACAUCAUAUUCUACUCUUGGAAGCUUAGAGUGCCGACAGAGUGCCUAAUAAAGCAUAAAAUGAAUAUUUAUUGAUCUGAUGGUGACCGUGAGUUAAGAGAGUGAACCUAUCAGUUAUCAUAGGAGAUUCUGUUCAUGAAGAGAGGUGGUUAGUAUCAUCUAAUGCAGCUCACCGCCUGGCACACACAUGGCGAGAUCUGGGGCGGCUAAGCCUGCAUAUGUUGUGUGUAGUUUAAUCCUCUGUUCCAUAUUCUCUGAUCCAGUUCCUGUGGGCGUGGACAUUCCAGUCACAGAACAGCAGCUCUACAUCAUGAAGGCUCCUGAAGAACCCAAACUACCCAUGAAAAUGCAAGUGAAAAGUCCUGCUCUGGUGUAUUACUGACGCUGCUUCUAGAAAACCCCUUUAUUAGAAGGCAGCAUGAAACCAGCAUUGGGAUAUAAGGGCAUAUCCUUUGCUAAAAGAAAACCUCCUUCUAAUACUCCUAACCAAAGGGCAGAAGUGCUGUCUGAAUGCCACCUUUCUCUGAUUCUUGGGGCUUCGUCUUCGAAGACCAAGAGGAUCCUCCUUCAUCUGAAACCUCUCAGAAAGGGAAAGGUUGGUCACGACUUGCUCCCCCAGCAAGGAGCUUCAGGCACUGCCGACUGUGUUCAGUAACCCAUCUCUGACAGGAUGCUCUUCAGGAAGAUUCCUGCUAGCUUAUCUCAGAAGAACAGCAGCCUGUGCGUGAGCCUCUUCCCUUGAGAAUUUCCUCUUCCUUCGGCAGUGUCUUGAAAUGGCCACAUUUUCCAUUUCUGUGACUUCCUAUCAGCUUUUCAAAAGCUCCCCUACAAACUAAAGUUGUUCUGGCAUUGACAAUGUGAUCUCAGGAUUUCCACAACUGGCUUUCCUCAAGAUGAAUCUUGGGAUGAGUUUGGCAGCAGAUUGUGUGAUAAGGAGCGCUGGUAUGGGAGUCAGAAAGUGUCGUGAACCCUGCAGAGCAAGUGACAUCACCUCUCUCCAUCUCAUUGUCAUCAACUGUAAGUGAGAGAGUGAAUGAAGGAUGCUUCCAACUGUCAAAUCCUGUAAGUCAAGAGAACCUGUGCUCCAGAGGAGAACAUGGAUAUUGGCAAAAAGUUUCUGCUGCACCAUGAACCCAAGAACUGUGAACACAUCCCAGUGGGCAGACAGCUGGCUGCCUACCAAAUCUAUCUUCCUAUUCUUUCAACGUAAUGGUCCAGCCCAAUAUGUGACCUCUCAGUUGGAGACUAUGUUUCAAGAGUCCCUUGCUGGCAAGUGUCUGAGCUCCUUCCAAUGGAAUGUGAGCAGAAGGGAUGGGAGAUGUUUCUAGGCCCAGCAUCUGACACAACCUUCCCCAUGGUUGGUGCUGAACUCCAGAACAGCUGAGGACCGACUGGCUUUGAGCAUGCAGGUGCAGGACUGUAUGAGAGAUGAAAAACUUCUUGGUCCUUGAAAUAAACUUUUCCUCUAAAAUCUUAUAUAAACCUUGGGACUCAUGCAUAAGAAUUAAAGAGAAAGAAGAAAAGAAAUCCCUUUUUGUUUCCUUGCAUGGAACAGAGACAUGGAGGAGUUUGGUGUCUUAGUAAGUAGUAGUAAGUAGUUGGGUUUGGCUGAAGUGCGUGUGUGUGUGUGUGUGUGUGUGUGUGUGUUGUGGGCUGGGACCCAGGAUGAGGGGUUGUGGAGUACAGGAGGCCUCUUUUUUUUUGUUUUGAGAUGGAGUCUUACU